ACGGGGUGCAGCAGGCGCGAAAACUUGGCAAUGCGAGAAAUCGUGACCAGGGAACUCCAAGUGGCUGGGGUAAGACCCAGUCUUUUCUUGACUCUUCAAAGGUCUUGGAAUAAGGGGUGGGUAAGGACGGUGCCAGCCGCCGCGGUAAUACCGGCGCCUCAAGUGGUAGUCGAUUUUACUUGGGCCUAAAACGUCCGUAGCCUGUUUGGUACAUUCGUGGGUAAACUCAACCAGCUCAACUGGUUGAAUUCUGCGAGCACGGCCAGACUUGGGACCGGGAGAGGUGUGGGGUACGCUCAGGGUAGGGGUAAAAUCCUGUCAUCCUGAGCGGACCACCUGUUGCGAAGGCGCCACACUAGAACGGAUCCGACGGUCAGGGACGAAGCCUAGGGGCACGAACCGGAUUAGAUACCCGGGUAGUCCUAGGUGUAAACGCUGUGGACUUGGUGUUGGGGACUCUCCGAGAUUCCUCAGUGCCGAAGCGAAGGUGAU
rnacentral:rRNA from 1 species